CCUACGGGGGGCAGCAGUGGGGAAUAUUGCACAAUGGGGGAAACCCUGAUGCAGCGACGCCGCGUGAGUGAGGAAGUAUUUCGGUAUGUAAAGCUCUAUCAGCAGGGAAGAAAAUGACGGUACCUGACUAAGAAGCCCCGGCUAACUACGUGCCAGCAGCCGCGGUAAUACGUAGGGGGCAAGCGUUAUCCGGAUUUACUGGGUGUAAAGGGAGCGUAGGCGGAAGAUCAAGUCAGCGGUAAAAUUGAGAGGCUCAACCUCUUCGAGCCGUUGAAACUGGUUUUCUUGAGUGAGUGAGAAGUAUGCGGAAUGCGUGGUGUAGCGGUGAAAUGCAUAGAUAUCACGCAGAACUCCGAUUGCGAAGGCAGCAUACCGGCGCUCAACUGACGCUCAUGCACGAAAGUGUGGGUAUCGAACAGGAUUAGAUACCCCAGUAGUC
rnacentral:rRNA from 1 species